AACGAACGCUGGCGGCAGGCCUAACACAUGCAAGUCGAGCGCCCCGCCAGGGGAGCGGCGGCCGGGUGAGUAACGCGUGGGAAUAUGCCCUUUGCUACGGAAUAGUCUCGGGAAACUGGGGGUAAUACCGUAUACGCCCUUUGGGGGAAAGAUUUAUCGGCGAAGGAUUAGCCCGCGUUGGAUUAGGUAGUUGGUGGGGUAAUGGCCUACCAAGCCGACGAUCCAUAGCUGGUUUGAGAGGAUGAUCAGCCACACUGGGACUGAGACACGGCCCAGACUCCUACGGGAGGCAGCAGUGGGGAAUCUUAGACAAUGGGGGCAACCCUGAUCGAGCCAUGCCGCGUGAGUGAUGAAGGCCUUAGGGUUGUAAAGCUCUUUCAGCUGGGAAGAUAAUGACGGUACCAGCAGAAGAAGCCCCGGCUAACUCCGUG
rnacentral:rRNA from 1 species